rnacentral:rRNA from 1 species
AACGAACGCUGGCGGCAUGCCUAACACAUGCAAGUCGAACGAGAUCUUCGGGUCUAGUGGCGCACGGGUGCGUAACGCGAGGGAAUCUGCCCUUUGGUUCGGAAUAACAGUUGGAGACGACUGCUAAUACCGGAUGAUGACGAAAGUCCAAAGAUUUAUCGCCAGAGGAUGAGCCCGCGUAGGAUUAGCUAGUUGGUGUGGUAAAGGCGCACCAAGGCGACGAUCCUUAGCUGGUCUGAGAGGAUGAUCAGCCACACUGGGACUGAGACACGGCCCAGACUCCUACGGGAGGCAGCAGUGGGGAAUAUUGGACAAUGGGCGAAAGCCUGAUCCAGCAAUGCCGCGUGAGUGAUGAAGGCCUUAGGGUUGUAAAGCUCUUUUACCCGGGAUGAUAAUGACAGUACCGGGAGAAUAAGCUCCGGCUAACUCCGUGCCAGCAGCCGCCGCAG